UCCCACCGGCCGUCACAUUUCUCCCCGUCGUUCCCCAUUCUUCCUCUCCCCGUCUCCUCGGGCCACCCCUCCCCUUCGUACCCACUGCCACCAAGAGGAGCUCGGCAUGCACGGGAGCAUCCCAGCGCUAGGCUCCGUCGGAGGUGAGGGACUUCCACGCCCCUGCUCUUCCCCGUCCUUCUUCGAAUCUGCUCGCCGAAGUGCCGAAGGAUGCGCUCGAGCUCAGCAUGCUCACGAGCGACCCAGCGCGGAUGCCCGCAACAAGACAACAAGGAGCGGGCGUGGGUGCGCAAAAAUAUAUGGGCACAGUUCGAUGCCUCCACUGGCGUGCCUUCGUUUGAUAUGCUAUUCAAGAUCCCUGUACAAUUGUGUUAUUCAAGAUACAAUGGCACUCGAUGAUGCUUGCUAAGAAGGUCUGCAGUAUCCACUGGACUGUUGCUUGCCAGAUGACUGGAAGAUGGAUAAAAUUUGGACCAUGGCUCGGUAUGAUCAAUUGGAGAAGACAUUACUAUGACUACAAAGAUCUGUUUUUUCAGGUGUGCAAGGAUGCAAUAUUCAUGACUGAGCGCAACGUCGGUGGAUCUGUAUCUUUGGGUUCAGAAUUUUGAAAGAAAGGGGAUGUGGGAAACAAUAAGAGGGGAGCUCUACCUCCAGCAGCACUUUCCCGGUCGUCGGCGUCGUGCUUCCAGCUACGGCCGCUGCAGACGAUGGUGGGCAGCAGCCGCCGACGCCUUCCGGCGCGGCUGUGCACAACUUCCCGAUGAGCACCGUGGACUGGAUGCUCUGGAGGUUGCGUCCUCGAGUGCC